rnacentral:rRNA from 1 species
AUUUGUCUGGUUAAUUCCGAUAACGAACGAGACCUUAACCUGCUAACUAGUUUCGAUUACUUUGUAAUUGCUAACUUCUUAGAGGGACUAUGUGAGAUAACUACAUGGAAGUUUGAGGCAAUAACAGGUCUGUGAUGCCCUUAUAUGUCCUGGGCUGCACGCGUGCUACACUGAUGCAUACAACAAGUGCCUAGCCAGUCAUGGUAUGGCAAUCUCGAAUAUGCAUCGUGAUGGGGAUAGAUCUUUGCAAUUAUAGAUCUUGAACGAGGAAUUCCUAGUAAGUGCAAGUCAUCAUCUUGCAUUGAUUAUGUCCCUGCCCUUUGUACACACCGCCCGUCGCUCCUACCGAUACCGGGUGAUCCGGUGAACCUUUUGGACCUUUACAGGAAAGAUAAGUAAACCAUAUCACCUAGAGGAAGGAGAAGUCGUAACAAGGUUUCCGUAGGUGAACCUGCRGAAGGAUCA